GACGAACGCUGGCGGCGUGCCUAAUACAUGCAAGUUGAGCGCUGAAGGUUGGUACUUGUACCAACUGGAUGAGCAGCGAACGGGCGAGUAACGCGUGGGGAAUCUGCCUUUGAGCGGGGGACAACAUUUGGAAACGAAUGCUAAUACCGCAUAAAAACUUUAAACACAAGUUUUAAGUUUGAAAGAUGCAAUUGCAUCACUCAAAGAUGAUCCCGCGCUGUAUUAGCUAGUUGGUGAGGUAAAGGCUCACCAAGGCGAUGAUACAUAGCCGACCUGAGAGGGUGAUCGGCCACAUUGGGACUGAGACACGGCCCAAACUCCUACGGGAGGCAGCAGUAGGGAAUCUUCGGCAAUGGACGAAAGUCUGACCGAGCAACGCCGCGUGAGUGAAGAAGGUUUUCGGAUCGUAAAACUCUGUUGGUAGAGAAGAACGUUGGUGAGAGUGGAAAGCUCAUCAAGUGACGGUAACUACCCAGAAAGGGACGGCUAACUACGUG
rnacentral:rRNA from 1 species